UACAGAGGGUGCGAGCGUUGUCCGGAAUCACUGGGCGUAAAGGGCGCGUAGGUGGCCAUGUAAGUCGGGGGUGAAAUGCUGCGGCUCAACCGCAGCGCUGCCUUCGAGACUGCAUAGCUUGAGCACGGUAGAGGCCGAUGGAAUUCCCGGUGUAGCGGUGGAAUGCGUAGAGAUCGGGAAGAACACCGAUGGCGAAGGCAGUCGGCUGGGCCGUUGCUGACACUGAGGCGCGACAGCGUGGGGAGCAAACAGG
rnacentral:rRNA from 1 species